GAUAUAAUUGAUUCUUCUUUCUCUCUUGGUUGUUGAAUUUUGCAGCGGUGUCAGCACUUCAGGUCAUUCAGCAGUCUACUAGCUUGGAUCUCGGGUGGGAGGAUAGCUCACCGAUAAUAUGGGAACCUAUUGAUUUUCUUAGAGAGCUUUCAGACAUUAAUUUGAGGGAUUUGCACAACACAUCACUUGCUGGAGAGAUACAGAACUGGGAAAGCCUUCAACAUCUCGAGAAACUGUAUGCACGCAUCACUUGCUGGCAACAAUUUUCAACUGAAGACAAAGUCCUGAGUAGCUUAUGUUGUUCCCAGUAAUGAUAUGGGAAAAAGGAGGUCUAACUUCCAUAAUUUUGGUUAAUAUGCUGCCCUAUUAGAUGGUAGACUAACCAAUCCUGCUGGUGAACCUGUUAUUAAGAGUGUUAGGACUAAAGAAGAAGGGAGAAACAAUGGGGAGGCUCUUCUUUCUCCUCUACAAAUUUUAGCUACUGUUUCCAGUGAAAAAGCCAGAGGUAGCAUCCAGCUUUCCUAUGCAAAAA